rnacentral:rRNA from 1 species
CCGCGGUAAUACGUAGGGUGCAAGCGUUAAUCGGAAUUACUGGGCGUAAAGCGUGCGCAGGCGGUUCGGAAAGAAAGAUGUGAAAUCCCAGAGCUUAACUUUGGAACUGCAUUUUUAACUACCGAGCUAGAGUGUGUCAGAGGGAGGUGGAAUUCCGCGUGUAGCAGUGAAAUGCGUAGAUAUGCGGAGGAACACCGAUGGCGAAGGCAGCCUCCUGGGAUAACACUGACGCUCAUGCACGAAAGCGUGGGGAGCAAACAGGAUUA